CCUACGGGUGGCUGCAGUGGGGAAUAUUGCACAAUGGGCGCAAGCCUGAUGCAGCCAUGCCGCGUGUAUGAAGAAGGCCUUCGGGUUGUAAAGUACUUUCAGUCGUGAGGAAGGUGUUAAGGUUAAUAACCUUAGCAAUUGACGUUAGCGACAGAAGAAGCACCGGCUAACUCCGUGCCAGCAGCCGCGGUAAUACGGAGGGUGCGAGCGUUAAUCGGAAUUACUGGGCGUAAAGGGCACGCAGGCGGUUAAUUAAGUGGGAGGGGAGAUCCCCGGGCAUAACCUGGGGAUGGCAUUCAAGACUGGUUAGCUAGAGGCUUGUAGAGGGGGGUAGAGUUGGAUGUGUGGCGGUGAAAUGCGUAGAGAUGUGGAGGGAUACCGGUGGCGAAGGCGGCCCCCUGAGCAAAGAGUGACGCUCAUGUGCGAAAGCGUGGGGAGCAAACAGGAUUAGAUACCCCUGUAGUC
rnacentral:rRNA from 1 species